AGCAACUUUAGUUCCUAUUUCUCGAGUCCCUCUGCGGAAAAGUUCAAGCCCCUGAGAUAGGUGGGGUGGACGAGUGCGGCCAGGAGAGAGGAGAGAAGCCAGAAGUGCUCGUAAAGCUGCAAUUUGAUAGUCUCCCCAAAUACUGGUUGGUGACUUAGAAACUAAACUGCCUCUGCCAUCCUUGGCCCACCCUCCUUUAGAAGCAUUUCUGGUAACAUCCAA
rnacentral:misc_RNA from 1 species